AUGGCCCCGGCAGCCGAGCGCCUCUCCCUCAAAUCCAGGGGCAGCGGCGGGAGGGGCGGCGUGGGGGGCACCAGGCGCCCCGGGGAGCAUGCGAGGUCCCCAAGUAGGCGAGGCCUUGGGGGCGGGGCCGGGGCCAGUGUGCGGGGUGCCCAGCUCGGCCAGGUCGGCACCCCCAGGCCACACCCAGCUCCCGGCGGCUCCAGGCAGCAAAGGCAGCGGAGCCGGCGGGGGCGGCCGGCGGGGUUAGGGCUCGUGCUACCCUGUCUGCGCGCCAGCCCCCAGGGACACCCAAGGUACCGGCUAGGGCGCAGGGCAGCGAAGGGACAAGGCCCGGGAGACAGGAGCCGGGAGACGCCUUUGCUAGAACAAGGAACAGGCCCUGCUCGAGGCCGCAGAGUCCGGUUCACGCUGCUCGUCUCUCGGGGCUCUUUUGUCGGGUCUGCAUGCUGGACCCCCGAUGCCACGGCCAGGGAAGGAAGGGGGGCGCAAGGCAAGGGGGCCGCAUCGCACCCCAACCUCCUGCACGCCCCGCAGGGAUGGAGGCGCACGCAGGCCGGGAGGGGGGGCAGGGGCAGGCUGCGCACCCCCGGCCCAACGUCCACCUGUAAGCGGAAGCCCGAGGGGGCGGCCCGAGCCCGGGGCGGCUGCAGCGCCCGUCCGCAGCGCCCUCCGUGCCGCGGCCCGCAGCCCUGCCCGCGCAGGGGCACCCCCGGCCGGGCCCGAGUGCCGAGUGGGCGCAGGCGCCGCCGCAGUCCUUGCAGGGGCCGCUCCUCGGCCACAAAGGGUCCCCAUGGGGCCGGGAGCAGGGCUCGGACCGGCCGUCCUCGGGGCGCUGGGCACGAAGCUCCGGCGAGGCCGGCGCCCGCGGCGCCCCACGGGCAGGGCCCGACCCCGAGGCCGAGCCCCGGGCCGCCGAGCCGCCUGGCCGCGCGCGGGCGGCGGGGCGCGGGGGCCACCUACCUGCCCGUCCCUCCGCCGCCGCGGCUCCGGGUGGCCGCCCGCCAGCCACGUGGACGCGCCCCCGAGCCCCACCGCGGCCCCGCGCGCGCGCCCCCGCCGCCGCGCCCCGCGCGCGCCCCCGCCGCCGCCCACACACUGGGCAGGCCCGCGGCCGCCGGGGCCUUUUAA
rnacentral:lncRNA from 12 species